rnacentral:tRNA from 1 species
GCCACGACUAGGUGAGAUUGCAGGCUCUCCUAAAGCCGGUGUCGCAUGUUCGAAUCAUGCCGGGGGCA